rnacentral:rRNA from 1 species
GACGAACGCUGGCGGCGUGCUUAACACAUGCAAGUCGAACGGAAAGGCCUCUUUCGGGGGGUACUCGAGUGGCGAACGGGUGAGUAACACGUGAGUAACCUGCCCUUGACUUUGGGAUAACUUCAGGAAACUGGGGCUAAUACCGGAUAGGAGCUCCUGCUGCAUGGUGGGGGUUGGAAAGUUUCGGCGGUUGGGGAUGGACUCGCGGCUUAUCAGCUUGUUGGUGGGGUAGUGGCUUACCAAGGCUUUGACGGGUAGCCGGCCUGAGAGGGUGACCGGCCACAUUGGGACUGAGAUACGGCCCAGACUCCUACGGGAGGCAGCAGUGGGGAAUAUUGCACAAUGGGUGGAAGCCUGAUGCCGCAACGCCGUGUGCGGGAUGACGGCCUUCGGGUUGUAAACCGCUUUCGCUCAUGACGAAGCUUUGUGUGACGGUAGUGGGUAAAGAAGCACCGGCUAACUACGUG